UUUCUAUCUAUGAGCAUGGAAUGUUUUUCCAUUUGUUUGUGUCCUCUUAUUUUGUUGAGCAGUGGUUUGUAGUUCUCCUUGAAGAGGUCCUUCACACCUGUUGUAAUUUUGAUUCCUACGUAUUUUAUUUUCUUUGUAGCAAUAGUGAAUGCAAGUUCACUCAUGAUUUGGCUCUCUGUUAUUGAUGUAUAGAAAUGCUUGUGAUUUUUGCACAUUGACUUUGUAUCCUGAGACUUUGCUGAAGUUGCUUAUCAGGUUAAGGAGAUUUGGGGCUGAUAUAGUUGGGUUUUCUAAAUAUACAAUCAUGUCAUCUGCAAACAGAGACAAUUUGACUCCCUCUUUUUCUAAUUGAAUACACUUUAUUUCUUUCUCUUGCCUGAUUGCCCUGGCCAGAACUUCCAAUACUAUGUUGAAAUGGUGUGUGCCAGUUUUGUCUUGCACCAGUUUUCAAAGGGAAUGCUUCCAGUUUUUGACCAUUCAGUAUGAUAUUGGCUGUAGGUUUGUCAUAAAUAGCUCUUAUUAUUUUGAGAUACCUUCCAUCAACACCUAGUUUAUUGAGAGUUUUUAGCAUAAAGUGCUGUUGAAUUUUGUUGCAUGCCAUUUUUAUCUCUAUUGAGAUAAUCAUGUGGGUUUUGUCAUUGGUUCUGUUUAUGUGAUGGAUUCUGUUUAAUGAUUUGCGUAUGUUGAACCAGGCUUGCAUCCCAGGGAUAAAGCUGACUUGAUCAUGGUAGAUAAGCUUUCUGAUGUGCUGCUUCAUUCGCUUUGCCAGUACUUUAUUGAGGAUUUUUGCAUCGAUGUUCAUCAGGGAUAUUGGCCUAAAAUUUUCUUUUUUUGUUUUGUCUCUGCCAGGUUUUUGUAUCAGGAUGAUGCUCAUAAAAUGAGUUAGGGAGGAUUCUAUUUUCUAUUGUUUGGAAUAGUUUCAGAAGGAAUGGUACCAGUUCCUCUUUGUACGUCUGGUAGUAUUUGACUGUGAAUCUGUGUUGUCCUGGACUUUUUUUGGUUUCACCAUUUUUGUUUUUUUCUCCCCCUUUAAAAGGUAUGAAAUAAUAAAGCUCUCUUUCAACUCAUGUUCAGCUCAGUUAAGUUAUUUUUCCCCACAGUUCUGUUUGUUGUGGCCUGGUGCUAACAAUAUUUUCUUAAAGGUCUAAAGGAAAUGUUUUCUUCCAACAUAAUAUCCUGUACACUGCAGAAGGUCUUUUCUUUUGCCUUUUGGUAACUGGCCUCACAGAUUUUACGUCUUAUUGAAAUAAUUCCUAUGCCAUUAUUAUUAAGUUUUACUUUGCUUAGGAAAAAAACCUGAUAAUUGUUUUUUUUUAAAAUUAAGGUUAUUACAUCCGUGUAUCUUUCUGUAUGUGCUUUUAAAGUACUUGUAACACUAAGUUACAGGGAUUUGACUCCUGGGUCUAAAAUGGACACAAAGCCCUGCUAAGUCUUAAACACUGACAGCAGUUAAAUCCUCAUCUUCAGGCCCCAUAGAGGAUGCCAAUCAAAAUAAACUGCAUUCCUGAGACAGAGGGCCAGAAAUUAACACCAUUCAACUCCUCAAGGUCCAGGGACUAUUGAGGAAGAGGUGGGUGUGUGAGAUUGUAAGGGCCCAUUUUAAGACAUAAAAUAAGUACAGUUUCUCUAUAAAUUAACCAUUAAUAUCAAUGGCACACUGAUGCAAGACCAGCAUAUGAGCCCCUGUGUCAGAUUAAUAUGGUUUGUUUUUUAAGCAUUAACCAAAACAUUAAUAAAGAUUAU
rnacentral:lncRNA from 10 species